GCAGCCGAGUGGUCAAUGCGAUGGAUUAGAAAUCCAUUGGGGUCCCCCCACACAGGUUCAAAUCCUGUCGACUGCA
rnacentral:tRNA from 1 species